GCCAGGAUAAUCUCUAAAAUAGAUUUGAAAGGUUGAAAUAUAAUGUGGAUGAAAUACUCCGGAUUGACAGUUAACUUGAGAUCAUCCUAGAGCAUUUAGGAUCAAAGGGAUGAAUUAUACGAUAGCUAUAUACAUAGGUUUUGAAAUAUUUUUUUGCAAUAAUUUGAUCUAUCCAGACGUCAAAAAUUAUUGCUAGAUGAUAGCUUCGAUUAGUACG
rnacentral:lncRNA from 1 species